CGGUGCAUCCGUACAGCAAGCAGCACAAAGAGAACUCCGAGCUAAUCUAAAAAAAAAUUCACACUUUCCCAUCAGCCUCUUCCGGCUGACAUGAAGUGAUUGGUUUAGUGAUUGUGACAUCAACAUCCUGUGAGUAUGAGUCACACUGUGAAAGAGCCUUCCAGAGGAACAAAAAAAAAACACUAAUACGAUAAACAACUCACAACGCGUUCUCAUGCCUCCUAACAUUGUGACCAGAUGCUCUGCAACUAUGUUUAGAUCUGUUGGAUGAUGUGAUGAAGAGGACACUCAGAGUUACGUCCUUCCUCCAGAGUCAAGAGACCACUUUUUUACCAAUGUCAGGACAGAGACGAGGAGGAGGGAGAGCGUGCUGAUGAAGAGAUGCUGCAAGGAUUUCUGGUUUCUGAUUUCAUUCAGUUGCUUUCAGUUUUCAUCAUAUAGGAUGCUCUCAGACGUCAACCAUCUCAAAAUGUCAUUAUCUGUAUGCAAUAUUCAGGGUAUAUACUGUACUUACUCCUAGCUUAAUAUCUGUAUUCAUGGCUAGCUUUAAAAUGUACAAUAUGUAACAAUUUACAUGUAUUAAUCGCUUUGUAUUGCCAAUGUGUGAACAGAUUGUAAUGUAACUUAAAAACUGAGACCUUCCCCGAUUUUCUCGGUUGCCUAUAACAGCCUGUGGACUGAUUUCUAUGUAAAGGACUCGGGACGGUUUUGCUUCGUAACGUUAGCUGAUGAAGUAAUUUGCAAAUGGUAAGUUAUUAGUAUCGGAGACAGUG